rnacentral:sRNA from 1 species
UUGGUUGCAUUUCAUUAUACUGAAAGAAACAGGGAAGAGUCCCAUCAAGCUUGCAAGAAGCUAGCGUACUUGGCACCCAGGAGAAGCCUCUGAAUGCACAAGAUAGCGUUCUUGGUCACCUCAGCGUUCUCGUGGUUUAUCAGCUUCAUCACUCGCUCUUUUGCCUUGAGGUCUGCUACAAUCACUCUCCCCGCUGCAUGGUAUUGUAUGAACUGUGAGAUAUCAAAGCAUGCCACCGCCAAUGAUCUGGGAUCACUUGAGGUGUCCA